GCCUGGGUGGCUCAGUUGUUUGGGCGUCCGACUUCAGCUUAGGUUAUGCUUACAGUUCGUGGGUUCGAGCCCCACAUCGGGCU
rnacentral:tRNA from 1 species